rnacentral:lncRNA from 10 species
CCAUACCUCCAGAGAAGUACUUCAGCGGUAGAAGACUCAAGCGGCUGGUCCUCCAGAGGACCUCGAGAGGAGCAUGUUGGCAGAAAAACACACCGACAGACAUCUGCACGCCUGCAGGCCAUUGAUUGAGGGGACUAGGCGGAGUUUGGCCGGGGCUGUUGGAGGAGAGCCGGGGCCACCUAGCGGCCCAAUUCCAGGGGAAAAUCGUCUGCCUCUGGCUCCUCCAUCAGCUGAGAGCUACUUCCACUCAAUAAAACUUUGUACUCUUUCUCCAGUCCCGCAUGUGAUCCGAUUCUUCCGGUACACCAAGGCAAGAACCCGGGAUACAGAAAGCCCUCUGUCCUUGCGACAAGGUAGAGGUUCUAAUUGAGCGGACUUACACAAGACACCUAUAGACGGCAAAUUAAAAGAGCACCCUGUAACACACGCCCACUGGGGCUUCAGGAGCUGUAAACGUUCACCCCUAGACACUGCCGUGGAGUCAAGAGCCCCACAGCCUGCCCAUCUGUAUGCUCCCCUAGAAGUUUGAGCAGCGGGGCACUGAAGAAGCAAGCCACACCCACAUCGCACGCCCUGCGAGGGGGAUGACGGAACCUUUCCCGUUUCAAUAUGACCAUAGGCUCAAUUUUCCUACAUAAUUAAGAGUUUGGAAUUCGGGCAAUAUCAAGAACCACAUCUGUCCUGAAAUCAAUUAUCUCUGUUUGAAACACAAGAAAUAAGAAGACCAUUUUGAGAAGAACAGAGAGUAGCCUUAAGAAAAUCCCUGUCGCAAGCACUCUGGGAUUUGGACUCAAAUGCUAAUUAUACAGAACCACUUGGGUGCCCAGCUGCUGUCCAUUCUCUACACUUAUCCCACCUGAUGGAAGGCUGUUAAGAAAAACAUCACUGCAAUGCCUAAUAAACAGACAUGGGUCCCAGACCCAAUAAGAGUGAAACCAUCCCCCUAUUUAAAUGAAAUUAUGGCUGAUGAGAAAGACAAAUUAAUUUCUCUGUCCCUAGUAUUACACAAAACUUUGGAUGCUGCCAUUGUUACAAUUUUAUUUUCCCCAGGAGCUCAGAGUCCCACCUUCAUUCUUUUUGUUUAAUGCUUAAGCUUGCCUGUCCACCUAUGGAAGACUAGAAUGAGCAAAGACCAUGUAUUCAAUGAUCUGUAAAUCUAACAGGAAACAAUAUAAUAAAUAUAUUGUGUUUGCUAACCAAAUCUGUGAAUGAUUAGAUCGACUGGUUAAUGAUUAGAUGGAUUAACACAUCAUUUCUAUUUUCUCUCUCCUCCCCUACUUCUUGUUUUAAUGAUACCUUCCAAGUUUUAUUUCUCCAAGCCUAACCCCUUACAUAAUACAAGAGGACAACAGUUUGCAAAAUAAAUAUCUGUUGGCCCUAACUGGUAAAUACUGAAAUAGAUUUCAAGUAAUGUGAGUGUUUUUGAAACCACCUAAAUCUGUAAGCCACCCUGCAAGGAACAAGGGUAGCAAAGUGAAUAAGCCAGACAUGUAAAAAUAAAGAUGACAAAAUGGAAGGCAAUUAAUGCCUGUAAUGGAGGUGGGGAAGGGGGGAAUGACAAGUUAAUAAGAAAUUUAUUUUUAAAUGCUAUCAUCUGCCAUAAAAUAUCCAUGCUUAUUUUAGAAAAUAUGUAAAAUGUUUAAGAAUUAAACAUCUUUAAAAAAAUCACAUGAACUCAUCACCCUGCAACAAAACACACACAGAUGAGUGCACACACUUAAACACACAUUAAUUUUCAAUUAGUAUAUAAAGUUAAUAUCCUGCUAAGUACAAGAUACUAUAUCAUGAGCACUUUGUCUC